GUGGGGAAUCUUCCGCAAUGGACGAAAGUCUGACGGAGCAACGCCGCGUGAGUGAAGAAGGUUUUCGGAUCGUAAAGCUCUUUCGUUAGGGACGAACGUGCUCUUUGUGAAUAAUGAGGAGUAAUGACGGUACCUAAAUAAGAAGCCACGGCUAACUACGUGCCAGCAGCCGCGGUAAUACGUAGGUGGCAAGCGUUGUCCGGAAUUAUUGGGCGUAAAGCGCGCGCAGGCGGGAUAUCAAGUCUGUCUUAAAAGUGCGAGGCUCAACCUCGUGAGGGGAUAAAAACUGGUAUUCUUGAGUGUCGGAGAGGAAAGUGGAAUUCCAAGUGUAGCGGUGAAAUGCGUAGAGAUUUGGAAGAACACCAGUAGCGAAGGCGACUUUCUGGACGAUGUCUGACGCUGAGGCGCGAAAGCUAGGGGAGCGAACGGGAUUAGAAACCCGAGUAGUCC
rnacentral:rRNA from 1 species